CUUCAUGAGGAAAACACUGAAAAGAUCCCCAUUUUCUGGUUUUGUCCACCGGUGCCGCCAGGCCCAACGCUUUGCAGUGAGGCUGUGUGUUUUUCUGCAGAUCCACCCUUGAAUGCUAAGUAACUGCUCUGCACACGCCUCUCUCUGCGGAGCUCAGGGAAAUGGCAGCCAGAGCAAUGAGUGGUUGGCAUGGCAACAAGAAGAAGAAGAAAAUCUGCAACCUUUUGUAUUGUUAGGUCUGCUUGUUUAUUUGCCUCAGGGGCUGAUGCGGAGAGCUUUAGUCAUUUUGCUGGAGAAACGGCCCUGCACUAUUUUGCUCUGUAUACAUUAACAAAGUAUGCGCAAUAGAUCGUAUUUUAAGGAGGAUCUCAAUUUAGAAAUGGAGGCAUGGAAGAUAGAACGGUAACGAAAAGCAGUUUUCACUUUUCUAAGGUUGAAAAGGACGAACGGAGAGAAGGAGGAAACUGAGAAUCACGCUAUGAUUUUAUGCCAUGCUCCAGGAGUGUGAAUGUGAGUUCUGUAACAGAAAUGUGCACUUUGCCUGCCGUGGAUGGGGCCUGCUGCAGAGGGGCAGUAGAGGAGCUGUCUUCUAUCAGACAAGAAGCCUGGACCAGGUAGUAAAUGCUUUCAGGGGUUAACUACAACUGAGGAGGGUUAGAUAGGAAAGCUCAUCUUCUAGAUUCCUUCCAAAUAACUGUUGUAUUAUUUGAAAGUAUGGCAAGGGAAUGGCCAAAUUCCAUUAAUGUUUUCCAAUAAAGGACAAAUGGUGAAAUUUACAAGAUUAAUUCUGAGAGCCCCCCCCCCCCCAAAUUAACUCUAUUCUAAAGAAAUCUUAAAAGCCUUGACAGUCAGCAGCCUGCUUAGAAAGUAAAUAAAUGACAAAGUAUACACAAAAUUUACACAGUCUUUUCUUGGGGAAUGGACAAGUCAGAAUGAAACCAAGUUGCACAGGGCUCCUGGCCAUUGGGUUCUCAAUUCAACACCCUCAUAACCUAAAUGAGCAUCUCUGAAUAACUGUUUUAAUCAGACUGUGUCCUAAUUUUCUUAUUUGUAAAUGGAAACACUAAUGAUAGAUAUCUUUGUGGACAUACCAAAAUGAUAGAAUGUGAUCAAAGCCAUGAUGGUAUACAAACUAAAGAGCCAUGUUGAAGCCUGUGACGCUAUACAAAUUUUCAAGAUGUGGUUCUAAGUAACAGUUGUCCUUCAGUGUCUUUGGGUGGGGUGAUGGCUGAAGGACCCCUCUAACAUCAAAUUCUGUUCUUCAAGUCCUUACAUAAAAUGCCAUGUUUACAUAAAGCCUCUGCAAUCCUCCUAUAUGCGUUACACCAUCUCUAGACUGUGAAUAUUACUGGUUACCGUGUAUAAAUUCUUCGUUAAUAAUUGAUAUUCUGCAUUGUGUAAGGAACAAUGACUUGCAGGAAAACACAGUUAUCCUGUCUGAACACAGGAUAUUAGAAUUCUUUCUAAUUCAUUUAAUUCACAGUUGGCUCUGUCCAUGGAUGUCAAUAAGGAUAAGGAGAGCAGGCUCCAGUGUUUCCGACUACCCUUGGGGAAUGAAAAGGAGCCAGAGACUUUUCUAUCCCUGGAUAGAUAAUGGUAUUCAGAGCAAGAUCCUGCUUUCCAACACUGGUCUCAGUGCACAAGAACAAUAAUAAGCUGAUGAUGGAUGCUCAUCUUUAAAACGUCUCAAAUGAAAAUGAAUAUUCAAAUGGUGUGUGAGAGAAGGUAGGACAGGAGGCUGAAGGAGGCCCAGUGUUAGGAAGACAUGAUACUUCUACUGUGUAAUCCUGUUUAUAGAGAUAUACAAACAAGCUCAGGGGAAAAAAAAAACUUCUGGAAAUGAAGAGACAACCAUAGCCAAGAAGAAAGCAGAAAAAACAGUUUUGAGUCAAUUUGAGGAAUUUCCUGGCUACUACAAGCAUAGCCGAGGACCUCCUUCCCCUGGGGAGUGCUUUACGUGAACAGUUUUGCUUUUGAAGGUUAUUUUUAUGGGGGAAAUGCAAUAUACUUCUGCACUGCAGGUGAGUGAAAAGAAGAAUGAACUCUUUGGUCCUUGAAAUGUUCACCUCCAAAUAUAACGCCAGUUCCCAGAAGGUCACCAUCCUCAAAGCAUAGCAUUUAGAAAAUUCCAUAGUGAGAUUUAAGAGGAUUUGCUUAUACAGGUGAUGAUUUACAGCACAUUUUUAAGGAAGUUACCCAUAAAACAUCAACUAGAACAGUUAUUUUUUAUUAAACUUGUUUGGAAAGAAGCUGACUGCGUACUAACUUAUCAUUGGAGCAUCCUUUGUAAGUAUGAGGAAACCAAGUUUUACAUUCCUUCUCUCCCUACGGCUUUCCACACUUGCACAUCUCAGGGAUUCAAUAAUUGGUCUGUUAUUUUUAGAAGGAGUUAGUUUAAAAAUCACACCAUAGUUUAGAUUGAAAACAUCACUAUGGCAACCCACAGAUGAUGCUGUACCACCUCUGUCACUGUGAGCAUAUGUAUGAACACUGAGAAAUCAAUUUCUGCAGGAUAACAUAAGACUCAUUUAAUACAUGCUGAGAUGAGUCCACCAUAAACACUGGAUGUUCCUGACACCAUCACUCAAAAGAAAUACCAGUGAGUUGAAUUUAAUUUAUAUUAUCUUCUCAAGGAAGCUGGCAAGUACACAUUGACCUGACAAAUAGAUUUUUCUGAUGCUGUUAAAUACUUCAUUAAGACCCCUGAAUAAAUAGAAUAUUAAAUGAUACUAGUUGUCCAUGGCUUGAACAAGCAUACUAUACACAGUGAUUUUUUUCUAUAUUGCAUUGUAUUGCUCCAUGGUAGUCAUGUGUUGAGUAUUGAAGAGACCAAGCUAGACUGGUAUGGUGGUGCAUACAUAUCUGUAAUCCAGCCACUUGGGAAGCUGAGAUAAGGGGAUAACCUUGACUUUAAGUUGAGUCUGGACUAUACAGCGAGUUCAAGGCCAGCUUGGGUUACAGAGUGCUACCCUGCUUAAAAACAAAAACAAACACCAAAAACAAACCAACAGCAAUGCAACAACAAAGGUCUCUAAAAUCAGGGGACAAAAGUAUAGUUUUCAAAUUAACUUGAAAAAGACUGUCUUUGCCUUUGCCUGAUCAUUCAGUCAUCGGCCCAACACACAUUUAUUGAACACUGCAGCUGUAAAGCCAGGGGCUGCAGGAUGAGAUGCACCAUUAUCUCUUUCCUUCCUUCUAACCAUGAUGCUGUAGCUGGUGUUCAUCCCCUUUUGCCUCAAACCUAUCAGGGUCCUUUCAGUGGGGUUCCCACCCUCAUUAAGUUCCACUGUAUUCAGCCAGAGAGCAAAAGUCCUUGUUCAAGGCUGUCACCGCCACUGCCACCCACAAUGAUGGUAGCUAAUAGACACUAUGUCUUGGAGCACUGGCUUUAUACACUUUUUACUGUUUUAUAAUCAUCACUGCAACCAUGGAAGGCAAGCGUAUCUUCAUUCCAUUUCAAUCACAAUGUCUUAUUAAGAUGUCUGUCUCCCUGGAGCACUACACAGCUUCUCAAUUUCCUGGUUCAGUUAAGAGAUAGUGCCAUCCUCUUUUCCCAUGCUCAUGGAAUUCUGCAGGGCCUUUAUGGAAUUCUCAGAGGCCUUGCAGCAGAGCAACUGGAGAAGACUGAACUUAGUGAAGAAGACACACAGUCUUUAAGAGGGAGACAGAGUGUGCUAAUGGUGAAACAGAACCACCACAAGCUAAUGGCUUCUAUAGUGUUUGGCUUCACUGAAUAGAUAUACUAUCUUGCUAUAUCCCUGGGAAUUUAUUUGGCACUUCAGGACACAUUUGGGAAAAUUUGUCCUAAGUAAAAACAAUCCCACUUAAAUGUUGCCUUUCCAUACUUCUCAUUUGGCACUUAACACCCCAUGAUUUGUAUGCAAAUUAAUUUACAUAGAGGUCAUAUGCCAUGAGACCUUGGAUUCAUGGAGUCUGGGCAUAGGAUUUUGUAUGGAAGCUAAUACAACACUUAGUAUGUAGAAAACACCCCAAUAAACUUGUGUUUAAAAAUUUAUACUGUGUAUUAUAAAUUUUCUUCUGUCACUUAAAAUGUCUUCACUAUUUCCUCAUUAAAAUCAAACAUGCAUAUAUAUGUAUAUACAUGUUUACACAUGUGUAUACACACACACACACACACACAUAAUUUGUACCAAGAACCUUGUGCAUGCUAAGUAUGUGCUCUAACACUGAGUAUACCCCCAUACCUUAUAUGUAAGGUAUUUUGACCAGAGUGUAUAGUGGAUAAACAUCACAGUUUAAUUGAUGUGGCACAGAAAUCGAUCUUCAAAUAAGUAAGGGAUGGCUUUGAAGAGGACAGUGCAGCUGCCUCUUUAUUCGACUACUUGCAAUUUGUUCAGUUUUUUGAAGAAGCAAUCCGCUGUCUGUAAGUUCUAAUAGAGAAACUUCUGAAUAUCAGAAAAAAAAGGAAAUGGUUGAUGAAGAAUGCUAUAUUGUAAGGUAAUGUUUCUUUUCAUUUAUACUUUAUACUUAUGGGUCCAUUUAGGAUAGUAUCAAUGAGAGUACUUUAAAAAGAAGUACGCAAGAGUUAGUUAUAUUGGGGGCUGGAAAGAUUGCUCAGUACAGCACUGAUUGCUCUCCCAGAGGACCCAAGUUUAUUCCCAGAACCACAUGGUGGUUCACAGCCAUCUGUAACUCCAGUACCAGGGUAUCCAAUGCCCUCUUCUGGCCUCUGUGGGCACAGCCUGCAUGCGGUACAAACAUAUAUGCAGGUAGAAUACUCAUGUACAUAAAACAAAAAUAAAGAUUAAAAGUAAAAAUUAUCAGUGAUAUCAUAUUGUUCUUUCAGCCUCAGGGUAUUGAUUUUUAGAAAGCCGAGAAACAGUGAAAGGCCCCUGUAUUUGAACAUGCAUGCUCAUCCCCCUUCUCCUCUCUCCUGCUUCUUUGGAAGGCUGAUGAGAUGGUUGGAAGUUCUUUCUACACUAAAAAGAAAUAUGCUACUAAUCAAUCCAUUGGACUUAGGCCCAAUGUGACUCAAGGUAAUAAGAACAAAACAUUGUUAUUUUUUUUCUCCAAUGGGUUAAAAUACUGACAGUUCAUGGCAAAAUAUACAUACGCUGAGUAUUUUGCCUAUAAAGAUUAGGGUAGUAAAAACUAAGGUGAGAAACAAGAUCAAGACGACAACCAAGUUGGGGGAAGUCAGGCUAACUGCCACGGGGCUUGAUGCUUGAUUUGUUAGGGCACUGACUUCUCCUGACCACUCCAGUCCUUGCAGAGUGAAAGGGCCAGCUGCUGCAAAUUAAUUCACUUUCAGAGUAACCGGACUACAAAGCACAAAGAAAUUCUGGCGGCCGGCCCU